UUUUUUUUUUGAGAACUAACAAUGUCUGCAUGCAUUCUCCAUUAUUUUCUUUUUGAUUCUCUCUCUGAAUCAUACUUUAAUGACAAACAAUAGAAAAACAAGAUUCUUGCAUUGUUUUCUUUUUGAUUCCCUCCCUGAAUCAUGCUUUAGUGACAAAUAAUAGAUAAAAGAUAAUCUCGCCUAAUAAAUUUAUUUUCUUUCACCUUCUUAAUUAAUUAG
rnacentral:lncRNA from 1 species